UACGUAGGGUGCAAGCGUUGUCCGGAAUUAUUGGGCGUAAAGGGCUCGUAGGCGGUCCAUCGCGUCGGGAGUGAAAAGCUGGGGCUUAACCCCAGUCCUGCUUCCGAUACGGGUGGACUAGAGGUAGGUAGGGGAGAUCGGAAUUCCUGGAUGUAGCGGUGAAUGACGCAGAUAUCAGGAGGAACACCGGUGGCGAAGGCGGAUCUCUGGGCCUUACCUGACGCUGAGGAGCGAAAGCAUGGGGAGCAAACAGG
rnacentral:rRNA from 1 species